AUGAGAUGCAUAGGAAAUUGCAACGCCUGC
rnacentral:piRNA from 1 species